rnacentral:rRNA from 1 species
AUGGCGACCGGCGCACGGGUGAGUAACGCGUAUCCAACCUGCCCUUUACUAUGGGACAGCCCGUCGAAAGGCGGAUUAAUACCGUAUGUUGUCAUGUUGAUGCAUAUUUUCAUGACCAAAGGCUUCGGCCGGUAAAGGAUGGGGAUGCGUCUGAUUAGCUUGCCGGCGGGGUAACGGCCCACCGGGGCGACGAUCAAUAGGGGUUCUGAGAGGAAGGUCCCCCACAUUGGAACUGAGACACGGUCCAAACUCCUACGGAAGGCAGCAG